UCUAUUCUUUGAAUUUUUAGAAGAAAAAAAAUGUUUGAGCCGCAACAUUUAGUAGAUUUACAAGAAAAUUCAGGUUUUGGAUCCUGGCUGUCGGGGGAUAACAGCAACUCGUCCCCGACUCACCAUCGAGCUGAGUCCUUACUCGCCCGCUCUGUCCCCGGAAAUGUGGAUAGUGAACUCUACAAGGAUCUCGUAGUAGAGAUGAUUUCUCUAUUUCAGUCCCUCAUCGAGCGUAAACCAAACAGUUCAUUUACAAGGCGUGGAUCGAUUGUGUAUACCAAGACACCUUCAAGGGAAUCAUUAUCCCGUAAAGUUAGCGAUGUAAAAGGAAGGAAUGCAGCUCUGUAUAUUCCAGUGAAAAAGAAAAGGAUCGAGUAGACAAGAAUGGUAGUAAUGACCAAAAUGGUGAUAGUUUAUCAAUCUUUUCCUCGAGGGAUUUGAUAGCAGGAAAAGAAAACGAGGAGUUAAUUGUACUGAGAGAACAAGUGGAGGAUCUGUAAAAAAGGUUACUGGAGAAGGAGGAGCUUCUGAAAUCAGCAGAGAUUUUAAAGAACCAGAUUAAUGCUGUUCAAACAGAAUUUGAUCAACUGAAUCAACAUGCUGCAGAAAAGGACUCUCUAAUCAAGUCUAUUCAGCUGCAACUCUCUGAUGCCAAGAUUAAGCUAGCGGACAAGCAGGCUGCCUUGGAAAAGACACAAUGGAAAGCAAUGACAUCUAGGCAAAAGUCGGAGAAGCUGCAAAAUGAUAUAGACUCCAUGCAAGGAGAAUUUUCAUCUUUUAUGCAGCUAUUAAAUGGUUUGACAAAGAAUAAUCGCACCGCAUUUGCUGAAGAUUACGAUGUAGCACCAUAUCAUUUUGAGCAUCUCCCAUGUAUAGAUGAUGUAGAUGACAAGGAGAUGCCAAAAGUGGAAGAAGCGAGGCGGGCGUACAUCGUUGCUGUCGAUGCUGCCAAAGAGAAGCAAGAUGAAGAAUCGCUAGCGGCUGCAGCCAGUGCAAGGUUGUAUCUCCAAUCCGUUCUUUUCAAAUUGGAAGUUGCAUAAGAAAAGCAAUGUAAGGAUUUUUUUAAUGUCAAAGUAGGUUCACACGAACUCCUAUGCAUUGGGAUAUCAUGUUCGUGCUGCAGCAUUAGUUUACUUUUGUAUGGCAUUAUUUUAUGUUAUGUAUGGCAUUUUCUGUUCGUAAUUGUCUACUAAAUGCAUGCAUUUUUUUACAUGUACAAAUAAAUUCUCUUCCGAGCAACCGGGGUUUGG